rnacentral:rRNA from 1 species
AAACUUUGUCCACUCCUUACGGGGGAGACAGUCAUGAGACGUGAGUAUAAGACCUGAGUGUAAAGACCUUAGGGUGAAGCAAUUGGAGGGCAAGCUUUGGUGCCAGCAGCCGCGGUAACUCCAACUCCAAGAGUGUCUAUGGUGGAUGCUGCAGUUAAAGGGUCCGUAGUCGUGAAUGCAAUUAAAUGUCGUUGUUCAAUAGCGAUGAGUUUGCUAAUGUUUGCGGAACGGAUAGGGAGUGUAGUAUAGACUGGCGAAGAAUGAAAUCUCAAGACCCAGUUUGGACUAACGGAGGCGAAGGCGACACUCUUAGACGUAUCUUAGGAUCAAGGACGAAGGCAGGAGUAUCGAAAGUGAUUAGACACCGCUGUAGUUCCUGCAGUAAACUAUGCCGACAGCCUGUGUGUGAGAAUACGUGGGCGGGAGAAAUCUUAGUGUUCGGGCUCUGGGGAUAGUACGCUCGCAAGGGUGAAACUUAAAGCGAAAUUGACGGAAGGACACUACCAGGAGUGGACUGUGCUGCUUAAUUUAACUCAACGCGGGAAAACUUACCAGGGUCAAGUCAUUCGUUGAUCGAAUACGUGAGAAUGGCAGGAGUGGUGCAUGG